rnacentral:rRNA from 1 species
UUUGGCGUUUUGUUUGCACCUGGUCCGUUUCUUUUUAGAGACGAGUACUAGUGUGCACGACCCAUUCUUCUGGAAAGUGUUUCUGCCCUUCACUGGGUGGUCUCAUGAUCCCGAUCAUUUACUGUGAGAAAAUCAGAGUGUUCAAAGCAGGCUUUAUGCUUGUAUGGUUCAGCAUGGAAUAAUAAGAUAUGACUCUGGUGAUAUUUUGUUGGCUGUAUGACCAGAGUAAUGAUUGAAAGGGAUAGUUGGGGGUGCUAGUAUUUAGUGGUCAGCGGUGAAAUGCGAGGACCCAUUAAAGACUAACUUAUGCGAAAGCAUU